CUGGGACUUAAUGGCGGUGCGGGGGACGUAGGUAAUACCCUGAUCCAAUAGCUCGAGCGCCCACUUCGCGAUCCUUCCUGUCGCAUUCGGGUUCCGGAUUACUUCACCAAGCGGGAAUGAGGAAACGACCGUUACCGGGUGGGAGGUGAAGUAGUGACGCAGCUUCCUCUUCGUGAUGAGGAUGGCGUAGACCAGCUUUUGGAUCUGCGGGUAUCGUGACUUGGACUCGG
rnacentral:lncRNA from 1 species